rnacentral:snRNA from 1 species
AAACUACCUGGCAGGGGAAAUAUGAUUAAAGGGUGGUUUUCCUAUGGCUUGACCUAUUUAUUGCACUCCAAAUGUUCAGACAUUUCAAACUGCAUCUGCAGUUUCUCCAUAUACGGGAAAUUUGUAUAAUUUGUAGUAAUGGGGAACUGUACAGCUGCUAAGCCACUCUCUA